CGGUCUUGAAAGUCGCCAUUUUGAACCCCACGGUCCACUUCGGUUGUUAUCAGGUUGUUAUGCCUGGCUGCUCUGUUCCAUUGUGUUCAAAUCAUUCGAGGAAUGGCUGGAAGCUUUAUCGCUUCCCGGCAGACCCACACAGGCGUCAAAUUUGGAAGGCAAACGUCGGGCGAGACAAAUGGGAGCCUACGAAGGGCACGUACGUUUGCAGCGCACACUUUGAAGACAGCUGUUAUGAGCAAAACCGAGCAGACGGUUGGAAAAAGCUGAAACCGAACGCCGUACCCACGAUCUUCAGCUUUCGCCGCAAGCGUACGUCCACUAUUUCCGGUAUUGUCACGCGUCUUCGUAUUGCAUGGUAUACAACAUGGGGGUUUCCAAAGGAAAUUAUGUGUGACCGUCAACUCUCACGCAAUGCAAUGAGGACUAUCUGGGAGCAACAGCAUUUGCUUUCUGUUGAUAUGACUAGACAAUCAGUACAGGAUGUAACUUGAAGUGCGCAAAACCUGGGAACUUGUGUGAAGUACAUCCUGGCACACCGUUGCUUAUUUUUCUGCAGCUGCGGUGGAGCAGAAGAGGCUGCUGGAAGACAGAAGUGAAAUAGAACAGUCUGCUCCUGUUGCUGCGCACGCUGACCAGGACGCAUCUGCGGACACCUUAUCAGAGGAUACGGACAUGACUGCCGCUCACAGAUGAGCCCUGUUCAAUCCUGCAUGUCACCUUUACACCAGGAACACAGUGAUUCCACAACAGUGACACGCAAUCACAGCAGCACGCCUAGAACGUGCUGAGCUGUUGCAACGGCAGGGUGAUAUAACCACACUGUAUGAGAAUCUUAAAGGAAAUCGCAAGAAAUCAAAUGUCAUUUCAAAACUGAAAGCAAAAGGUGAGGACACUUCAGGCUGACAUGCAUACCAUCCGGAACAACAACGUUAUUGUGAGAUUAUGAAUGGGGAGUUUCAUUGCCAGGGGCAACACUCUACCUAAUUGCUGGUGGUGAUGUGUAGAAUGAAAUAAUGAGCUCCUUGAAGAAGAAUUUCAAGUUCUUAGAAGAAGAAAAAGUCCGAGCCCUCUGAAAAAGUGACACAUGUGGAAACGGCUGGUCUUGAAGCCACAAUCAAACAAGCCUGGCAGAUUAAGUGUGCUUGUGGAAUGUCUUGCAUGAGGGUGUCCGAGAACGAUGCUACCACGAUACACAGCCAUUGGUCAAGAAAGUAUAGUGGCAUGAAGGCAUCGCUGGAUCUUCCACGUUUAUGUUUUCGGGGAGCUCUAGCUAGAUGCUGCUUGUUUCACAAGUUUUUACCAUCAUGACAACCUUCGCAAAAACAAUAUUGCCCCUGCACAUAUUAUAUUUCAAUGUACUGACCUUAGAAAUAAGUUUAAGGGGCAACUAUAUCGCAUCUUCGUUUUCAUGCAGUAUCUUUUUCCAUCCCCCAAUGUGAUGUCCGUUGGGAACUUGAUGUAUAUAAAUAAGUAAUUCUGCACUUCCUGCAC